rnacentral:rRNA from 1 species
AGCAGCCGCGGUAAUUCCAGCUCCAAUAGCGUAUAUUAAAGUUGUUGCAGUUAAAAAGCUCGUAGUUGAAUUUCGGGACCAAUCUGCCGGUCGUGCCUCCGGUACGCACUGGUUUUAUUGGUUUCUCCCUUCUGACGAACCAUGAUGUCAUUAAUUUGGUGUCAUGGGGAAUCAGGACUGUUACUUUGAAAAAAUUAGAGUGUUUAUAGCAGGCUCACGCUUGAAUACAUUAGCAUGGAAUAAUGAAAUAGGACGUUUGACCCUAUUUUGUUGGUUUCUAGGAUCGACGUAAUGAUUAAUAGGGAUAGUUGGGGGCAUUAGUAUUCAAUUGUCAGAGGUGAAAUUCUUGGAUUUAUUGAAGACUAACUACUGCGAAAGCAUUUGCCAAGGAUGUUUUCAUUAAUCAAGAACGAAAGUUAGGGGAUCGAAGACGAUCAGAUACCGUCGUAG